AUUCAUUUAAUACCAUCGGACUGGCCAAAGGGCAAACUGGGCAAAUGCCUGGUGUCCUGCAAUGGCCAUUGGCUGAGCCCAACAGAGAUUAGAUGAUCCAAGCACCGGCCUUGCUCUGCGCCUUCACAGGCUGUUGUGGAGAUCAAAGAUCUCCCUCACCAGGCCACAGGCAUUUCAAUCUGAUAGAGGAAAGGAGAGGGAGAAGAAGAACCAGAGGUCUAGCCUUCAGCUCCACGGGGAAUGUUCUUCUCGCGAGCUUGGAGUGGGGGUGCAGUUACCAUGGCAAUGCUCCGACACUGUUGGAUCUUGCAAGAGGAGUGCACUCUAGCCGGAGGAGCUGCAGGCUAGAGUUUACUUUGUACCACCGGAGCACCAGGGUUUACAACGUUCCUCUCCUGGCCAGAGGUAAGAAGUGAAGGGGGGUAUAAAGUUUAUUUUUUUAUUUAUAUAAAAUAAAUUUUUUGUUUUAAAUAUUUUUAUUGGUUCAGUGAAAAAGCAGUCCUCCCACGCAGGGGAGGUAAACAAACCGUAAUAAACAUACUUCAUAGGCAUAUGCCACAAAGUACAUUAUAUAUCAAAU